ensembl:lncRNA
GGGCGGGGGCUGGGCUCGGCCUGCUGUCGGUCACAAACAGAAGGGACUGCCCUGCGGCCUCAUUGGAAGAGGAGCUCCAGGUGGUGGAGUCCAGGCGGUCUGCACAGCAAGCAGGUUGUCUGAAGAAAGGGCCACGGAGCCUCCCCUGUGGUUCAGAAGGCGGGAGGAAUAAACAACGAAGGCCUGUGGCCAUCGCGGGCGUGCCAAGCAGUGGGUGUCAUCUGGCGGCCCUUCAGCCCAAACCUUUUAUGUUGACAAACCGCGUCGAUCAGAGGACUAAUUGCUUCUUGCUGUCUCCGGCCCGGCCAAGUGCUCCACAAUGACUCACAAACCAACCGCACAACUGGCGAUCGCAAAAGUCUUUACCCUCCUGGAAACAGACACGAGAGAGAGCGCCCACCGCCUGGUUGGGGCUGGGAGCUGAGGCUCAUUUUACCAGUGCGGGUCCCUGCCAGGACAGAAACCUUCCCUCAGAGGCAGGAAGACUCCCUUCCCGCAAUCCCUGGCUGCCCCCCAGCCACCAGGUAGCUGAUGGCUUCCCUUGGAAAACAUUGUAGAACCCCCAGGCCUGUGCCGAACUCAGAAUUCCCUGGAGGAAGAGACGGACAGCUCACACAGUCUAGGGUGCAGCCUCCAGACCUGAAGAGGACCAUUUCUCAACCUGGAAAUCUUUAGAGACAGAAAAUCCGUGAUUUCUCCCAAGUGUUUUAUAUCCUGGUAGCCAAGCAGAGAGAAUGACAGGCCAAGGUCCUGAGCAGAUGAGCCCUUUCGGAGAAGUCAAGAGUCAUGUGGAUGGAGCCAGGGGCCUUAUGCCCUCGGAACCAGGCCCUGGACGAGGUGGACACUUGUGUCUGUGGCGGGUCUCUGCUAAAGCCCCCAACACACACACACACACACACACACACACACACAGAAUCUUUUUUUUUUUUUUAAAUAAGACCAACCAACAGCAGCAAAAAGCCCAGCCUUACCUAAUUAUUCAAAUAGACUGGAGUAUUUUCCCUGGGGUGACUUCCAAUUUCCUUCCUUUUGACAAUAUGAUUAUAAUCCCAACAUAUCCUGGGGGUUGAAAAGAAGAAAACAGGGUCCUUUAUGCAAAACCCCAGUCCAUGAACCGCCCGUCCCCCAGGUGGGGGGCUGCAGAGAAUUUCCAGGUGCUGUGGAAGGCAGCAACCUCAACCUUUGUGGCACCCGGGAGCAAGCGGUUUUGUGGAAGACGGCUUUUCCACGGACAGGGGUAGGGGAACGG